rnacentral:rRNA from 1 species
AGGAUGAACGCUGGCGGCGUGCUUAAGACAUGCAAGUCGAACGCAGAUCGAGUAGCAAUACCCGGUCUGAGUGGCGAAUGGGUGCGUAACACGUAGGUGACCUGCCCUGAAGUGGGGAAUAACAGUCCGAAAGGAUUGCUAAUACCGCAUACGGUUCAAGGCGUUAGAGAACUUGAACCAAAGCUCGCAAGGGCGCUUCAGGAGGGGCCUGCGGCCCAUCAGUUAGUUGGUAGGGUAACGGCCUACCAAGACGACGACGGGUAGGGGACCUGAGAGGGUGGCCCCCACACUGGCACUGACACACGGGCCAGACUCCUACGGGAGGCAGCAGUCGGGAAUAUUGCCCAAUGGACGAAAGUCUGAGGCAGCAACGCCGCGUGCGCGAUGAAGGCCUUCGGGUCGUAAAGCGCUUUUCGGGAGGAUGAGGAAGGACAGUACUCCCGGAAUAAGGAACGGCUAACUACGUGCCAGCAGCCGC